GAUGAAGAACGUAGCGAAAUGCGAUAAGUAGUGUGAAUUGCAGAAUUCAGUGAAUCAUCGAAUCUUUGAACGCACAUUGCGCCCCUUGGUAUCCCGAGGGGCAUGCCUGUUCGAGCGUCAUUUCACCACUCAAGCCUGGCUUGGUGUUGGGCGACGUCCUCGUUGGGGACGCGCCUCGAAACGCUCGGCGGCGUGGCACCGGCUUUAAGCGUAGCAGAAUCUUUCGCUUUGGAAGUCGGGGCCCCGUCUGCCGGAAGACCUGCUCGCAAGGUUGACCUCGGAUCAGGCAGGGAUACCCGCUGAACUUAAGCAUAUCAAUAAGCGGAGGA
rnacentral:misc_RNA from 1 species